ACCGGCAACGGGGCCGCAGUGCGCAGCCGCAGCCCGGGCCGGGCCUGGGCGCGCUGCGGAACCUGCGCGAGGGGCGCGCAACUUUAUUUUCUGGAUCUUACUAGCGUCCGCGCAUUGCCAAGCAGCAGGGGAAACGUUCCUCCAUUUCAGCCGCCGAGCGGUGAAGCCCAUUUUCCGAGCGCGCCCUGUUCUGCGCCGGGCCGCCUUGACUGGAUGCGGCUACGCUUCUCAGGCCAAGGGGUGCUGCUCCUCCCCACACGUGCGUUGAUCACGAUCCCUUUCCGUGCUUGCCACCCCGUCGAGUGUUACCUUCGGACAGAUUCGCAGCAGUGAGAUUACCUGGGCCUUAAAGAUAGAGACCUGUGUGAGCCUACUUGGAGAUCUGUUGUUCCCCCAAAGGAUUGUGCUAUCAGUGACAAACUGUUGAAUAUUGCUUACACAGUUUAAAAAAAACAAUUAUUACUUAAACUGUCAUCUCAUUGUUUUAA